CGAGCCCGGCCCUCUCCCAGGCUCCUGCCCCAGGGCGAACCCGGGGGUCCUCUCCCAUGGCUCUGUGGGGGACCCCGGGGAGGUCGCCCUGGCACGGGACACUGUCGCGGGGUAGGGCCCGAGAGGGUCUGGGGCGGUCGGGCUUCAUCCUGAGCACCGCCCGGGUGCAGGGAGCGCUGGGUGCUGGGACUGCCUGGAUACCCCCUCCUGUGAAGCACCUGCUCAAGGCACUGUCAAUGCUUAGGACUGUCUGGAUACCCCCUCCUGUGAAGCACCUGCUCAAGGCACUGUCAGCGAUUUAGGACUGCCCGGAUACCCCCUCCUGUGAAGCACCUGCUCAAGGCACUGUCAAUGCUUAGGACUGCCCGGAUACCCCCUCCUGUGAAGCACCUGCUCAGGGCACUGUCAAUGCUUUAGGCCUGCCCGGAUACCCUCUCCUGUGAAGCACCCACUCAAGGCACUGUCAAUGCUUUAGGACUGCCCGGAUACCCUCUCCUGUGAAGCACCCACUCAAGGCACUGUCAAUGCUUAGGACUGUCUGGAUACCCCCUCCUGUGAAGCACCUGCUCAGGGCACUGUCAAUGCUUUAGGCCUGCCCAGAUACCCUCUCCUGUGAAGCACCCACUCAAGGCACUGUCAAUGCUUUAGGACUGCCCGGAUACCCUCUCCUGUGAAGCACCCACUCAAGGCACUGUCAAUGCUUAGGACUGCCUGGAUACCCUCUCCUGUGAAGCACCUGCUCAGGGCACUGUCAAUGCUUUAGGACUGCCCGGAUACCCUCUCCUGUGAAGCACCUGCUCAGGGCACUGUCAAUGCUUAGGACUGCCCGGAUACCCUCUCCUGUGAAGCACCCACUCAAGGCACUGUCAAUGCUUUAGGACUGCCCGGAUACCCUCUCCUGUGAAGCACCCACUCAAGGCACUGUCAAUGCUUUAGGCCUGCCCAGAUACCCUCUCCUGUGAAGCACCCACUCAAGGCACUGUCAAUGCUUUAGGACUGCCCGGAUACCCUCUCCUGUGAAGCACCCACUCAAGGCACUGUCAAUGCUUAGGACUGCCUGGAUACCCUCUCCUGUGAAGCACCUGCUCAGGGCACUGUCAAUGCUUAGGACUGCCUGGAUACCCUCUCCUGUGAAGCACCUGCUCAGGGCACUGUCAAUGCUUUCCUUCGGUUGUUGCUUUCUUAAUUACUUGUAAUUCUUUAUCUAUCUGUACAGAAAUCCUCUGCCAUAUAAAUGUAUUACAAACAUCUUCACCA